GUUGGAAGAGAAGCCAUAUUAUAUGCUUUGUUGAGAUCGGAUCAACCUGUGGCCAAAGGAAUAAUAGUUUCAACUAAUCCGAGUACCAUAGUUGCAGAUCUGCCCAUUGGAAGGCAAUUUUGUGAAGUUGUUGUGACUUGUGUCCUGAAAAGAGAUGCAGUGUUGGCUCGUCCCUACGAUGAUAUGCAAACUAUGGCUACUGCUCACAUGAUGUCGCUUGCAUGGCCAUACAAGAAACUGAAGGUCAUCAACAAGGCAUCAGCAACACCUAACACAUCACCUAACAUUUCAGGAAAUGGACAAUGUUAGUAUCAGAUCAUGUUACAACCAACCGUGGACAUGGUUCUUCGGUCUUGCAUUUCUUUUGGAGCUUUUGUUGCGUAUGUUGCGUACAACAACGUGAAGGAAUUGAGUUAUUGUAAUACCGUGGACUAGCUUUUGAGUUAUGUAAUGUGAUAUUGCAACCUAUGGACUAGUUCGAUGUAUUGCAAACAUUAUGUUACUAAUGAUGUUAAUAUAUGAUCGAUGGAUAUUGAAAGACC